GUAGUCAUAUGCUUGUCUCAAAGAUUAAGCCAUGCAUGUCUAAGUAUACGCAAAUUAUACUGUGAAACUGCGAAUGGCUCAUUAAAUCAGUUAUAGUUUAUUUGAUGUUUCUUGCUACAUGGACAACUGUGGUAAUUCUAGAGCUAAUACAUGCGUAAAAAGCCCCGACUUCUGGAAGGGGUGUAUUUAUUAGAUAAAAACCAUCCUCCUCGGAGUUUGGUGAUUCAUAAUAACUUCUCGAAUCGCACGGCCUUGUGCUGGCGAUGCUUCAUUCAAAUAUCUGCCCUAUCAACUGUCGAUGGUAGGAUAGAGGCCUACCAUGGUUGCAACGGGUAACGGGGAAU
rnacentral:rRNA from 1 species